UACGUAGGGUGCAAGCGUUGCCCGGAUUUAUUGGGCGUAAAGGGCGCGUAGGCGGCUCGGCACGUCCGUUGUGAAAUCGCCCGGCUCAACUGGGCGGGGUCAGCGGAUACGGUCGAGCUUGAGCAAGCUAGGGGGUAAUGGAAUUCCCGGUGUAGUGGUGGAAUGCGUAGAUAUCGGGAGGAACACCAGUGGCGAAGGCGGUUACCUGGGGCUUUGCUGACGCUGAUGCGCGAAAGCGUGGGGAGCGAUCCGG
rnacentral:rRNA from 1 species